UUGUCACGAACGUUUGUUAAGUGUAUAAUUUUUUCUUACGUUGAAUAAUACGUUUUUAUGGCCUGCUUUUUAUUUGUGGGAACUUAGCUUCUUCAGACAUGAACCUUUUACUUUUCAUUACUAUAAAAAUGGUAAAUGUUCAUCCUUUUUUUUCUUUUUUGAAUAUUUUGUAUCGAUUAAUGCAUUUUUAAGAUUUUUUGCCGUCUACCUUUCACCUGUGAAAAUUUAUUGUUUUGAGAUAAAAUCUUUUUACAUUAUAUAAAAAUCUUUCAAAAGUUGUCGAAGGUAAAAAUUAUAGUUUCUACGUUCUAAUAAUUUUUCUAGGUUUUAAGAAAAUUCUUUUUCUACAUAAUCAUUAUUGUAAAGACUUAGAAUGAUUGUAUUUUUAAAUUUGAAUUAACUUUCUCGAGAAGCCCGUGGGAAGAUAGAGAGACUAACUGAAGGAAUUGGGUUUCUCUGACCACAGAUUAUCGCCUCUACUUAUUGUACAUGGAUAUUCGAUACCUCUAAUGGCACACAGUUGAUAGAAUGUAGGAAAGUAUCGCUACAUAUUCCUUUCCUAUUCAAACAUUGCUAUAAAUAUAUUUGUUUGUUUUACAGUUUUUAACUAGAAAGUUAAUAACUUAAAAAGUUCUCGACAGAAAUUCAAAACCUAAAAAUAUCAGCAAAAAGGAGAUGUGAUCAACUGGGGGGAUUAAAAAGGCAAACGCUCUCUUUGAGUUCUAUUUGGGGAUGAUUCACACUGUUGACCCCCAAUCCCACGCGAAAGGGAAACAUUUCCCUGUAAACAACUGUUACCCUUUAACACGCCAUAAUAAUCAAAAGAAAACAGAAAGAUAAGAGAAAGGAAAAAAUGUACAAAAUAUUUAUUUUCUAAAAGGAUGACUACCAAAGACUCGCAUUAUUUAACUCUACCUUACGUAAA